CUUUUACAAUGAAGAGUUUGAUCCUGGCUCAGGAUGAACGCUAGCUACAGGCUUAACACAUGCAAGUCGAGGGGCAUCAGGAAGAAAGCUUGCUUUCUUUGCUGGCGACCGGCGCACGGGUGAGUAACACGUAUCCAACCUGCCCUUUACUCGGGGAUAGCCUUUCGAAAGAAAGAUUAAUACCCGAUAGCAUAAUGAUUCCGCAUGGUUUCAUUAUUAAAGGAUUCCGGUAAAGGAUGGGGAUGCGUUCCAUUAGGUUGUUGGUGAGGUAACGGCUCACCAAGCCUUCGAUGGAUAGGGGUUCUGAGAGGAAGGUCCCCCACAUUGGAACUGAGACACGGUCCAAACUCCUACGGGAGGCAGCAGUGAGGAAUAUUGGUCAAUGGGCGUUAGCCUGAACCAGCCAAGUAGCGUGAAGGAUGAAGGCUCUAUGGGUCGUAAACUUCUUUUAUAUAAGAAUAAAGUGCAGUAUGUAUACUGUUUUGUAUGUAUUAUAUGAAUAAGGAUCGGCUAACUCCGUGCCAGCAGCCGCGGUAAUACGGAGGAUCCGAGCGUUAUCCGGAUUUAUUGGGUUUAAAGGGAGCGUAGGUGGACUGGUAAGUCAGUUGUGAAAGUUUGCGGCUCAACCGUAAAAUUGCAGUUGAUACUGUCAGUCUUGAGUACAGUAGAGGUGGGCGGAAUUCGUGGUGUAGCGGUGAAAUGCUUAGAUAUCACGAAGAACUCCGAUUGCGAAGGCAGCUCACUGGACUGCAACUGACACUGAUGCUCGAAAGUGUGGGUAUCAAACAGGAUUAGAUACCCUGGUAGUCCACACAGUAAACGAUGAAUACUCGCUGUUUGCGAUAUACAGUAAGCGGCCAAGCGAAAGCAUUAAGU
rnacentral:rRNA from 1 species